UGCUGUUUCACCUGCUUUUGUGGUUGAGUUUGGGGUACCAUAAGCUUUUAAAAGGCCUUGUUUCGGUGGUUUCUUUGUCAUUAGCUGGCCUUUCCUCUCUUUUAUUUCUGGACCCUAAAGGUGGAGUCCCUGGGGAACCUCAGACGGCUGGACCAACACUAGCUUGAAAGAGAUGCCACUUCCUUCUUCACGUCAUUGAACUGGGAGUCCCAGCAAUAGAAUGAUGAAAUAAAGAGGCUCAGAAUACUGGAGCAAAACAAAGAUUAGAGUCAUUCAACUUAAACCCUGUGUUUUACCUCUCAGAGAAGAGGACACAGAGGUCCUAAGGGAAUCCAGAGCCACAGGCAGAAAGAGCCUGGUUCCCUGAAUCACUGCAUGAAGGAAAGCCAGAGCUGCCAAACGGGAACAGUACCCUGGACUUGUACGUGAAUAGGAAAUGAACUUCUGUUGAGUUGCAGGUCUUUCUAACUGUGCUAUGUGGGAUGCAGCCUCAGCAUGGCUUGACGAGCGGUGCUAGGUCCACGCCAAGGAUCCAAACCCACGAACCCCUGGGCCACGAGGGUGGAGCACACAAACUUAACCAUUCAACCAUGGUCCCAAGAGAAGACCUAGGAAGUCUUUCUGGAAAAGCCUAGAAAACUUCAGCAAGCUCCCCAUUGCUCUCAGUUAAGUACUGGAUAGAUAAUUCUGUAGCCAAUUUAUCACACAGGCAUUUUGGGGGCACAGUUGGUGAUUGGUGGGGUGGCCAUCCUUGCUCAGCUACAAUGAGCUUGCUUUCUAUUUGUGGGUUUCUCAUACUUAUCAGAAUAAAUCCAUACUCAACAAGUUGAGGAACUCGAUACAGGGGGCACUGCUUGACCAUUUUUAAGGUUUAUCUGCAGGAAGAGUUUAUGAUAGAUUGAAUGCACAAAGGGCCUUUGUUUUCCAUGCAUCUUUGUGUCCACCCCUUUGCAAUGUGACCUUGCAGCUCCCUCCUCACUCCUUGACUCUGGGCUGGCCUUGAAACUUGCCUUGGACAGUUGAAUGAGAGGAAAGUGACAAUGUGCCAGUGCCUUGCAUGCUUCUGCUCUGUCUUGGCCCCUAAGUGAAGGAACUUAGCUACCCUGAUGGAGAUUGAGAGACUGUGUAGAGAAAAGUUCAGUUGACCCAAGUGAAGCCAUCUUAGAUCAACCUACAGUAAGAUGACCCCGCAUAUGUGAGACUGUCCAGCCAAGAUCAGCAAAUCAUCUCACCUGAUCAUGGAU
rnacentral:lncRNA from 1 species